ensembl:lncRNA
GAUUUUUUGGGUUUUUUUUUUUUUUGGAUCUAUGAAGCCAAUGUAGUUAACAAAUAAUGGAAGUCUACCUCACUCAAAACUAUCUGUCUCGCCCAAAUUGUCAUAUCAUAUCGAUUGGCUGUGUAAUCUCAUUUUAAGAAAAUAAAAAAAACUGUAGUGAAUUGUAUUGUACUACUACAGUACCUCUACAGUACCUUCAUAUUUUGGGUGUACAGGCAUUGGUCCAAGAUGGCCGCCACCUAUAAUGUUACAGCGUUCCAAGAGAGAAUGAAAUUUUAUGUAUGCUUAUAGAUUACAGUCAGGACUGGCUGGUCUUAAGCCCUUCAUCUCUGUAAAUAACGCUACGUGCCGCAUUUGUCUUUCUUUCUGUUGAUAAAUAGCUCCGUUCGGGGCCGCAUGUCUCUCCAUGACUAUCGGUGCAAGUAUUCGUACUCGCGCAGCAGCCGCGUCACAGCUCGAGUGCGCCAGACCAAACCUAUUUACACUCCGUCCCCAUCUAUAAAAGCUCACGGUUUCACUCCGAGAGUUCUCAUGGCUGAAAUGUAACGCACCUGUAAGCGGAUAUUUGAAUUGGAUCGCAAUGUUUAGAUAAGAUAAGAUAAGAUAAUAGUUUAUCAAUCCCCAGAUGGAGAAAUUAGGGAUUACGGUACAGUACUUUCGGAGUCUGAAUUCGGAUCGACGAAAAUGGGCGCGUGUAAAAGCACCUAAUGAGUAUUUGUGUUCCUGUGCGUAUUAGUUUUACACCUAUGCUCAUACAAUGAGAAGCCACGCUUCUGAUUCAGGCUGCAGUUUAAUUCCCGAUAACGUCGUUUUCCCAGCCAGCCGUCACAUGGCGUCCAGAACUGGUUGCGGUUUGAGUCAGGUAUUUAUGCGAAUGAUUUUGAGUGAGAGAGACUUUCUAUUAGCUACAUUAACCUCGUAGCUCUAGCGAAAAACUAUAGAUGCAGACUUCAGACAUCAAACGUUUUUUUUUAACAUGUUUUGAAGUCCGGAGGAAACGAUCUUCAUAUUCGAUCCCAGAGCAGAACUUUUCUCAAACUCUCACUUCUCGGCACGUGCCAAUGUGCAAAGAAUCAUGGGGGGGCGGGAGGAGACGUCCGUUCGUCAGGACUGCAGCUACCAAGAAGAAGCGUGAGAACUUAAUGCACUCCAGCUCUAAAGCGAGGUGGUUUCGUCGUAUUCCGACACACUGACACGCUUCGAGUCUUUACUACGACGUGAGAGAUUUUACAGAAAACCGAAAGUGCGAUACGACGAGAGCCUGAUCUGAUAUCGUGGUGUGUGUACUAUAGCGGCACUGCUAUUGUCUGGGUUUGAUGCUCAGGAGUGCGGUUUUUCUCUUUUGCUUGCACACAGUGUACACACAGCUUUAAAAUAACUCAACGCUAAUUAGGCUAGACACCUAGCAAAACAAGCUAAAUUUGAGCAAAACAAGCCCCAAGCUGUGUUAUUAACCACAUCCUUUAAAGGAUCAUUUAUAUAGGCAAUUUUUUUAAUUUAUUUAUUUAUUUAGUGCUCACACAACACUACUGUUUGAUAACUAGCAUGUUAGUCUUACUAGCUAGCAUGCUAGUCAGACAGGUAAGGUGAGUGUGUGUUACCUUAGCUAGUUCAUUUUAACCACAGUAUCACUUCUGGCGAUCUACAAACCAUACGAUUUUAAACAAAACAACCACCAUUAGGUACACAACUAGCUAUCCGGCUACAUUUGUAAACGUUCUGCUCAGUAUGAUGCGCUAUGAUGGUUUAUGAACACGCAAUGUUUGUCAGAACUCUCAUGGGGACGUUGGUCCGGUGUACUAAUACUAUAUGUGAAGCUGUCCUCAAAUCUGUCCUAAAUGAGGAACUCGGACCUUCGAUUUUUUUUUCUUUUCUUUUCUUUUUGUCAGUGAACGUUAUAGCAUUGUGUCUAAUGUGAAGUACUUUGCAGUUACUGUUUUCAGGAGUUUUGGAAUAAGACUCCUACGUAAAGACUCUACGUUAACGUUAAUAACACAGUUCUGUGUGUGCAAUUGGGAAAAACUGUAACGAACUGAAUUGAAGUAUCACCAUCAUUCAGCUUUAUGUUGACGCCUUUAUGGGCCACCAUACUUACUUCAACAGCAAAUCAGAAGACACGACAGCAAUCACGUAUAGUAACGAUCAUCAGGGGUGUAGCAAGACGUGAAAUUCACAUUCGAUACAGGAUACGGUGGUGUCUCGAUGCGAUAUCAAUACAGAGAAAUAUACGUAUUGAAUGAAAGCGUGCUUUUGAUUUCCGUUUUUGAAUCGAUCCAAAUGUUUAAGAUGAACAGUUACGGAAGCCCUUAUUUGAUUCUUUCUCGUUUUCUCGUGCUCUCGUCAUGACUUCAUUUUUGUAUGUUCUCGAAAUAACAACAUGUUUUUAGUUGUUCUGGGGGCAGCAGAAGCGUAGCGCGAUCCCGGAGCAGGGGACACCCAUCACUCUUCAUGCGGAGAUAAGGUCCAUCUCUACAGCGGGUAGUUAUUACAUAUAUGAUGAUGAUGAUGAUGAUGAUGAUGGCAAAGACAACAACAUGCAUACAAUACCAGUCCCAUUCACAAGGCGUGAGAUUUUCUCCUGAUAAAAUGAUGUUGUGAGAAAACAACUUUUGCUAUGUCGAAAUCACGAGUAAACAAUUUUUGUUAAGUCAUAAUCACGAGUAAAUAACGUCGAAAUCACGAGUAAACAACUUUUGUUAAGUCGAAAUCACGAGUAAACAGCUUUUGUUAUAUUGAAAUCACGAGUAAACAACUUUUGUUAAGUCGAAAUCACGAGUAAACAACUUUUGUUAAGUCGAAAUCAUGAGUAAACAACUUUUGUUAAGUCGAAAUCACGAGUAAACAACUUUUGUUAAGUCGAAAUCACGAGUAAACAACUGUUAUUUCGAAAUCACGAGUAAACAACUUUUGUUUAGUCGAAAUCACGAGUAAACAACUUUUUGUUAAGUCGAAAUCACGAGUAAACAACUUUUGUUUAGUCGAAAUCACGAGUAAACAACUUUUGUUUAGUCGAAAUCACGAGUAAACAACUUUUUGUUAAGUCGAAAUCACGAGUAAACAACUUUUGUUUAGUCGAAAUCACGAGUAAACAACUUUUGUUUAGUCGAAAUCACGAGUAAACAACUUUUUGUUAAGUCGAAAUCACGAGUAAACAACUUUUUGUUAAGUCGAAAUCACGAGUAAACAACUUUUUGUUAAGUCGAAAUCACGAGUAAACGUUUUGUCAUGUCGAAAUCACGAGUAAACAUUUUUUGUUAAGUCAAAAUCACGAGUAAACUGUUAUUUCGAAAUCGCAAGUAAACAACUUUUGUUAAGUCGAAAUCACGAGUAAACAACUGUUAUGUUGAAAUCAGGAGUAAACAACUUUUAUGUCGAAAUCACGAGUAAACAACUUUUGUUAUAUUGAAAUCACAAAUAAACAACUUUUUGUCAUGUCGAAAUCACGAGUAAACAACUUUUGUUAAGUCGAAAUCACGAGUAAACAAGAAAGAAAAAAAUAAGAAUGCAUAGCCUCUUAGGGCUUCUGUAAAAAGAACAAUAAUUAAAAGGUAAUAAUGUGGCGGUGUGAUGUCGUGUGAUGGAUUCAGACUCUUCUAUCUCUGCGUUAGAUUUCCACUGGGGUCACUCCAGGUGGCAUGUCUGAAGCGCAGAGCUUUUUCUUAUUCUGCUGUUAGCUAGUUGUACCGUCACACUCACGUAGCUCUCUGUAGCUCUAGGUGUGUUCUUAAAUCCUGGGUUCUCCAGUCCCGGAUAUAUGAACUUCCCAAUCGCCGUGGCGAUUUCUGUAUCCUGGAUUGAACCGGCAACGACAGGCCUGAAUGAAGAGAGUUUGCUGAGUGCGUGCUUCGCUUUGUGGCUUCAUCUAGUUGAUGUCGCACAUGUUUGUGCUAUUAGCACCGAUGUAUUGUACAGGUAUUCGGCGUUCUGUGACAUCUCGCUCCGGCGUAACUUCUCAGGAAGCGCUUUCUACACCAGACCUCAAAGAUUUCAGGGAAUCUUCCAGUUCCUGUCUGACGCUAAGCGAAGCCAUUGCUGCCUUUCCCGAUCUAAUACGCUAUUUAAAAAAAAAAAACAAUUAUUAAAUUGAAAUGUUUAUUACACCUCACGUAACAUAAGCGGUAUUUUAUGAGGAAUAAACAAUACGAAGAUGCAUCGCAUUGAGAGCCUCUUAUCGAACAAUGUGAUACAGCAUAUCAUUACAGCGCUAGUGCGGAUAUAAAGUCAUUACAGCGAAGAGAAAUCCUUUCUUUUGAAUAACCCGGCUUCCUUUAAGGCUUUAAUUCGCCAUUGCAUUUGAAACUUUAUUGCAGUGUUUUCUGAUUUGCUGUUGCACUUCCGGGUUUUUUACAGACCGCCGUAAAUCGCGCAUCGGAAAUCAAACCGCAUCAGGACGAAGGUCAUGCGUUCCUCGAUCAGCAUCUCGACAUCAGCCUUAAAUAUUCCCUGCUACCUGUCAGUUUAUCCUUCCUAUCAGGGUGCCGUGUGAAUCGUAUUUAAGAUAUCCUUAUCACCGUCUUUGUGUGCGUCACUCACGUUUUGUAUUUAAAUAGCGGAUUUAUACCCGUCUUAAGUUUUCUGCUUGAGCUUCGAGACCACUCAUGCCUAAACUAGCAUGUAUCAGACUUGAAAAUGAAUGUAUUCGGGGUGACAUUUUCCAAAGUGACUUAACGUACUGUGUUUCACUGAUCCGGAAGCUAGCGUUCGGUCCACACCCACCUUCUCCCAGGACAUGAGAAGGAACGCAGAAAGGCGGCCGAGUAAUUUCAGGAAACAUGACGAUCGCAGGUGCAAAGGGCUUCAUUCCAGUGCUUGUUUUUAAAGUGUAAGAAUAGUCGCUUGUAUUUUUCAGAGUCAUUAUUCGCUGUACAAUGAGAAGGCCAGCAUUGUAAAGAGGACGCUUAUUUCCAUGGCUGCAUUCUGUAGAAUUAUUAUUAUUAUUAUUAUUAUUAUUAUUAUUAUUAUUAUUAUUAUUAUUAUUAUUUUGUGUGUGUGUGUAUGUGAGAAAGCUGUGUCAGGUAUUAAGCCUGCUGUAAUUAUGUACAGAAUUUGUGUAAGUUAUUACCGAGAUCCUAGAACAUGAUAGGAACAGAAGAACCUUCAGAGCUAACCAAAUUUUCAUCUUUUCUUCACCAAACAUCAGCAGCAGGAAUCAAUAUGUAUGCUGUUCCUUUCCGGGAGGAUGCAGGGACUGGUUUUGUUUCCAGGAUUACAAAGCACAUGUGGUUUCCUCAGUGUCGAAGCAGUUAACGAAUGACGACGUGUUUUUGUUUUUGUUUUUGUUGUUGUUGUUUGUCUUAUGUGUUAACAUGAUUUUUCUUAAUAAAUAACUCGCUUUUAAUGGAA